GACGAACCGUGCGAACGUUGUUCGGAAUCACUGGCUUAAAGGGCGCGUAGGCGGCUCGCCAAGUCAGGGGUGAAAUCCUCCAGCUCAACUGGAGAAGUGCCUUUGAUACUGGCGGGCUCGAGCGAGGUAGGGGCGGGUGGAACUUCCGGUGGAGCGGUGAAAUGCGUUGAUAUCGGAAGGAACGCCGGUGGCGAAAGCGACCCGCUGGACCUCUUCUGACGCUGAGGCGCGAAAGCUAGGGUAGCGAACGGG
rnacentral:rRNA from 1 species